rnacentral:misc_RNA from 1 species
AUGGAGACUUGAUAGUAAUUUAAUUUAAUAAUAUUGUUGAAUUUUUAAUAAAAGCCUAGCCAAAACCAGUUGUAAAUUUUUCUUGGGCCUCUAUUGGCAAGAUUUUGGGCCAAGCAAGCCCGAGAUUGAGCCCGUUGAGAGAUCUCGUUUAGUUUUUGAGUGGAGGAAUUUCUCUUACCAGCAGCAACGGUGACAAGAUUCGCAAAAGGCUCUGACUGGAUACUCUAUUACAGGGAAAAUGGAUUACCCGCCCACCGGUCGCCGGACCCGCAAAACCCCGAAGAAAUCCGAGAUUUAUUCUACGGUCGUAGUCCAUGAUUCCGGAUCCGAACCAGAACCCGAACCCAAAACCCAUGAACACGACGACGGCAUCUACGCCACAAUGGUCUACAAAGGUGGAGCUGCCCAAAACGACAACGACGAGGAAGAUGAAGACUCGCUCCCUCCUCUCCUCAAACGCCUCCCUAAGGACUUCGGCGGUGGCGCUCCUCUCGACGAAGAUCUCGAUGACGACAACAGUGGCGACUUUGGAACGAUGAUUGUCAAAACCAGUCGGAGUCGUCCCCCGACCCAAUCGUCGUCGUUGUCUUCGUCAAUGGCGUCGACUCUGAGGAAACCUAGAGGCUCUCCGUUCGCGGAUUAUAGUAAGAGAAUUGAUGGAGGAGACGAUAGUGAUGGUGAAGAUGAUGCAGAGGGGUUUGGCACUUUCGUGGUAAAGUCGACGGUGAGUGGGACGGUGGUGAGGAGGACUGGAAGGGCGGAAGGUGGAUCGACGAUGGGGAGGGCGGUGGCAAGCAUGCAGGCGGUGGGGGAGUUAGGAUCUGGAAAGCAGAGGAAAGGGAGUGGGUCUCCGUCAUUGCAGGGAGAGGAGGCCAGGCAGCAGCAGAGUAAAAUGUCAUCGAGCUCUAUUCCAGAUAGUGUCACCAGGGAAGAUCCUACCACGAAGUACGAAUUGCUCAAUGAACUCGGGAAGGGUUCUUACGGAGCUGUUUACAAGGCAAGGGAUUUACGAACUUCAGAGCUUGUUGCCAUCAAAGUUAUAUCAUUAACCGAGGGGGAGGAGGGCUAUGAAGAAAUUCGAGGUGAAAUUGAGAUGUUGCAACAGUGUAGCCAUCCUAACGUUGUUCGAUACUUGGGAAGCUAUCAAGGUGAAGAGUAUCUUUGGAUAGUCAUGGAGUACUGUGGGGGUGGAAGUGUUGCUGACUUGAUGAAUGUUACUGAAGAGCCUUUGGAGGAGUAUCAAAUAGCAUAUAUAUGUAGAGAAGCACUUAAGGGCCUUGCCUAUUUGCAUUCAAUUUUCAAGGUCCAUAGAGAUAUUAAGGGUGGUAAUAUUUUGUUAACUGAACAAGGGGAGGUCAAGUUGGGUGAUUUUGGGGUUGCAGCGCAGCUUACGAGGACCAUGUCAAAGCGCAACACGUUCAUUGGCACUCCACAUUGGAUGGCUCCAGAAGUUAUUCAGGAAAGUCGUUAUGAUGGAAAGGUGGAUGUAUGGGCUCUUGGUGUUUCUGCAAUUGAAAUGGCUGAGGGACUUCCUCCAAGAUCAACGGUGCAUCCUAUGAGGGUUCUAUUCAUGAUAUCUAUUGAGCCAGCUCCAAUGCUUGAGGAUAAAGAAAAAUGGUCUCUUGUGUUUCAUGAUUUUGUUGCGAAAUGCCUUACAAAAGAACCACGUUUACGCCCAACUGCUUCUGAGAUGCUGAAGCACAAGUUGAUCGAAAAAUGCAAGUGUGGAGCCUCAGCUAUGUUACCAAAGAUCGAAAAGGCCAGGCAAAUUAGGGCUUCAAUGGCUCUGCAAGCACAAAAUCUUGCUCCAGUUGUAUCAGAACCACCAGUGGGUCCAAAACUAAACGAGGAUUAUGGAGAUACUGUUCCAUCAAAGCGACCUCAAAUGGCAGAUGAAAUACCGAGCUCUGCAGAUGGUGUGGAACUGGCUGGAGAAGGUAUGCUUUUCUGCUUGCAUUUUAAUUCUUAUAUUCUUAUUCAAAAAAAUAUUAUUAUAUUCUGACUGGAGGCUUAUGAGGAGGAAAAAAGUUAUCCUCAGCCUUAGAGGUGCUUCAUAACUAGUUUUAUAUCAUAUUCUAUGAGGUAUGGGAGAGGGCUAUAGACACAACUUUUACAUGAACUACUGAAAAAAUGCAAGGGAGUGGUUUUCUAUUGCAUGCCUCAACUUGAUCUUCACUAAUGACCUGAGAAAGGUGAUUUUAGGUAGUUGUUGUCAGCUGUAUAAUGAUUUUAUAUAAUUGUUACCACAUGCUUAAAGACUGCCACCCAAUAAGUUACUAAGUAGUGGAUCUGUCUAUGGAUACACUUCCCACACUUGAGCCUCAACCAAACUUAUUGAUCUUGUCCAACUCAGCUGAAAUUGCUGGAGCUUUUGAUACAGCCAAACAUAAUGGAAAGGGAACUCUUCUAUCCAUCUUGCCAUUCAUUCCAUCCCCUUUCAGCUGGUUGACUCCUAUCCAGCUAAAAAGAAAAAAGGGAAAAAAGAAGUUCGAAAAAAUGGUAAUCCAUUUUGUUAAAACUGGUUUAUAAGUAUUGAUGAACAUUUAGGAAUUUCUUAUCAUUAUGGGCCAAUCUAGUUCUUAGUUGUCUGAGAGCAUGCUAUUAACUUGGAUUUUGUUGUACUGCAUAAGUAUAAAAUUUAUUUGGUUAACCAGUAUUUAUAUUUUGCAUAGAUAAUAAUACAUCUGAAAUGGACGCCCAAAUGUUUGAUACUAGAGUGCGCUGUUUCAAUUGGAAGAACAGAACAGGCAGUCUUUUUUUGGUUUUAGUUUUUCUAUAUAUAUAUAUUUUUAUAAUGUUGGCCUUGUCCUCUAGCAUGCUUGGGUUAAUGCUGAUUGUGCCAGUUUAUUAUAUGCAUUUGCCCCUAAAUAACCACCCUCCAAAAUAAAAUUUCAUUUUUUUUUUACAUAAUGCUAGUUCACUGGAUUUUGCUUGGCAACUUGUUUGCUUUUAGCACCUGUAAUUACACUGACCACUGGCUUCUUCAAUAGAGCCUGAAAAAAUUUUUCUUGCAAGUUUGGUACUACAUUCCGACUGAAGCUGGUGAGAAUGCUUAUGGUAGUUUCUUAUGACCCUGAAUUUUUUUUUUUAGAGUUUUCUUUUCAUAUCGGCCUAAAAUAAACCUAUAAAUUAGUUGAUUCAAGGCAUGGAUAAAAGAAUUUGAUUUGUUAAUUGGAGAGUGAGGAUUAAUGCAGUGUCUAGUUAUUUUUUACCCUAUCCAGGCAGAUUACCUAGCUGACUCUGCUACUAAUAUUCUUCUGAAACACAUUAUUUUUGAGAAUGAGAUGUUUACUAUAUUCUUAGUUGCCCACUCUUACAUAGCUUGUGUAUACAGUUGAUUUCGGAACUGUAGUAGUUCAUGGUGGGGAAGAGACCAAGAAGACAGCUAUGCAGACAGAACUCCAUAACAAUAGAGAGCCCUUACAGGAUCUAGGACAUUUUGAAAGCCCUUCGGUUAGUGGCACUGGAGGGAAAUCAGCUGAUGCUU